rnacentral:lncRNA from 1 species
AUCUAAUCGUAGCCGUUUAAUUUUUCAGAUUUUGAGUAAAACAUUAGAAACUACUCUAAAACUUCACAAAACGUAACAAAGUAGUAGAGACUCCAAGUAUGAAACGUUUUACAAUGGAGCCAAAGCUCUUCUAUCGCCUCUGUUACUUUCAUUUGAUAGAACCAGUGAUGUAUUAAGAGACCAAAAUGUCACCAAGAAAAAGGAAAAGACCAGAUCCAUCAACUUAGAGGUUGUACUUGUGUCUUCUCAUUAUCCUAUACACCCCAGUAUGUCUCCACAAUGUUCAAGGCCUUCUCGUUUAUUUCUUUGCUUUCGUGUUGUUGCAGGUUCUCAAUCUUUUCUUUCCCUUCUGCAUCUCCAAUCAGCUGAGAGUAUAAGUUCACGCCUCCGGUGGUGUUCUUCUCCACCUCUCCAGCUACCAAAAUCCUUUCCAAUCCAUCUAAACACGCUGAGAUGAUCCAUACGUCUGGACAUACUAGGACAUCACAUAAAGGUUUUAUGCAACCCUGCUCCACCAAGUAUCUGAAUCACACCAAUGGAGAUUGUGACUUGAUGAUCAAUAAGCAUGUUAAAAGUGAAAACACAAAGAAGACAAGGACUUACUUGAUUUGAUCAUGAGAAGCAGCUAAGGUCACAUUUGAAAUUGCCCAUAUAACGUCGUUCUUAAAGUCCAGUUCAGUAUUUUGAGCCAGAUGGACCAACUUUGGAACCAAAUUUGCCUCAAGAACUAACUGUUAUCUCACCAGGGGGAGACAGAGACAAAAUUGAACACAAUUAGUGAUAGCAACCAGACAGAAGGGUAAAUUUGUAUUACGUAGACGUUCUGCAACUACAACAGUCAAGAACUGAUGCACAUAAUAAAGCGACAAAAACUUCUCACCUGAGUUUGUAAGUAAAAGCCUACAGUGAUGUUUGAAAUCGUAACCAAAGUGGCUUUCUUUAUGUCUUUGUCAUAGUCUCGAGUAAGCAGUUCGGAAAGAAUGGGUAGAGCACCACAACUGAUCAUAACCUGAAGAAUAAGUUAAAAGAGGUUUAUUCAGGGCCUUUCGUUGUUUGGUUACAAAAUCUAAUCACAGCAUUAUAAACAAGGAACAUAUAACAAAGCAAGCACUGCAUCCUCCCUACUAAUAGCGGUACAGUGAUAUAAAAAUAAGCUUCCAUAAGUACAUAAGGUGGACAACGCAAGUGGAAUAUGAAUUACAUACUUGGAUCUGGUGAUUAUCCUUUCUACCUAUAGUCUCAAUGGACUUAAGUACAGGAGCAACCACAUCUGGGCAAGGGUGUCUGCAAAAGAAAAAUUUGUCAGCCAAACAUAUCACAAAGGGUUAUAUAUGUGUAUAUAUUCUGAGAAGUACUAACCGGAGAACUUCAACUAGUUUUGGGACAAAACCAAACUCGAUCACACUCUGGACUCCAGCUUCUGAACCAUCACACACAUGCCGAAUUGCCAGAGAGAGAGAGAGAGAGAGAGAGAGAGAGAGAGAGAGAGAGAGAGAGAGAGAGAGAGAGAGAGAGAGAGAGAGAGAGAGAGAGAUGGGUAAGAAGACCUGUUCGAAGAUAGGCGGAGGCGUUCCACGACACAAGUGACACAAAGUCAGAGUGGCAAAUCUUAGCGUCGGCAAGUUAAUAUUCUUGGACAGUAGAUUCAACAGUGGCACCAAUGCCCCAGAGUUAAGAACAUAGUCACGGUGUAUAGGAUGGACAGCAACAUUACAUAUUGCCCAUAUAGCCUGUAAGAAUAAUGUCAAAACUCAUACCUGUGACAAAGCAAUCAUAUCUACAACAUAAAGUACAAUACUUACCUGAUCACGGACAUAAUCUCUAUUUGAAGCAAGAAGCUUGACUAGCCCUGGAACAGCAUCGUAAGCAACUACCAGAUCCGGUUUACUAACAGCAAUUCUUGUUAGACAGGAAGCUGCCUGAUACUAUAAAAGAUCAUUGAAUAAAUAUCAGAAUCAAAGAUUACACUGAUCAUCGUAAAAGUAUCAAUUUGAUAUUAGGGAAACUCAGGGGAAAUCUUCUAACAUGAAGCCUAGAGAAAUCUUUCGCGCCAAGAAAGCAAACCAAACGAUAUAUAACUCCAGAUUGUAUCAGCUCUUGAGUAUCAUGAUCCGCUAUUCCUGGCAUACCUGUACAGAGCAAACAAGACUUACAGAAACAUUCAAGUUUAACGAUAAAAGACCAAUCUUUCAAGAAAAGUAAAGAAAGUAAACAGAGAAAGUUUUACUCUUUAAGAGAAUCUCGUUGAUCUUGGUAGCGGAACCAAGCUUUCUUGAAUCAUCGUCUGAGGAAAGAUCAGCGAGCAAACUCGUAUCUUCUGAGAACAUCGUGUGACGAAGCUUUGGUUCCUCUCUUCUUCGACUACUCCAAAGCCGUUAACGAAACUUGAAAAGAACCCUAGAAAUCUCAACUUCUCAACUCGAAUGUGAAAGAGGAAGAAGAGAACUUUUGCAAUUGAGAGUAAGAAAAAAAUGAUGAAGGAGCGAAGAAAAAAAAAAAAGAAACAGAUGGUUUUAUAGAAGCGAACAAGAGAAAAAACGGUUUUUUUCGUUAUCGUCAUCAGAGAAACCGGUUUGGUUUGAUUUUAAUUGGAUUCAAAUCCGGUUAAAUCCAAUUGAAUUUAGUUUUGGGUUUAACUCCGGUUUAAUGAAACCCAGACGAUUUUCCCCCAAAUCGGAGUUAAAAUUAGGGUUCAUGGGGUCUCUCUUCUAACCUUACGACCACCACACCAACGCCAACGCCAACCCGAAUGAUGGGUUUUGCUUGUACCACAAUCAUCAGCACAAGACUUCAUUACACUAACACUAAUUUUGUUCUGUUCGAUCAUUUCUCCAGCUCUUAUUUUCAUAACAUUGAAAACAGAGAUCAAGAAAGGGAUCAGAAUCUGGUUUUAGUAACGUUUUGAGAAGAUCACGUCUCUUUCACAAAACAUGUCAAACACCAAACUGGUUCGAAAAGAAGACUGCCAUUAGAGAGAGAGAGAGAGCUUUACAAUGAAGAGUGUCGAGAGAAAAAAAAAAGGAACCAAAUUUGGCUGUAAAUGACGUUUAUGCCCUUUUAUUCUUUCUCUAUUUACUUUUUUUUUUGUUGUUGUUGUGCCUGUGUGGAGUUAAAAGUUUGUAAAUUCUCUACAUUACAACUGAAGUUGAGUCCUUUAGAAAGAACUGAAACUUGGUUCUCUCACAACAGAAAGACCAGAGAUCAUCACUUUAGAGGUUGUUGUGUCUGCUCAUCAUCCUCCUUCUUCCAGUAUGUCUCAAGAAUCUCCAAAGCCAUCGCGGAGACCUCUUUGCUUUUGUGGUGUUGCAGGUUCACAAUCUUUUCUAACCCUUCCGCAUCUUUAAUCAGCUGGGAGUAUUCCUCCACGUCUCCGGCCCUCAAAAUGUUUUCCAAUCCAUACAGACACUUUAAGAUGAUCCUCAUAUCUGGAGAUACCAGGAGAUCACACAAAGGUUUUAUGCAACCCUGCUCCACCAAGUACCUGAAAGAAACAACACCAAUAGAAAUUGUGACUUUUGAUGAGAUAAAUAAGCAUGUUAGAAGUGAAAACAAUAAGACAACGUACUUGAUUUGAAUGUUAAAAGACAAGACAAGGACGACCUACUUGAUUUGAUCAUGAGAACCACCUGAGGUUGCAUUUGAGACUGCAAGUACAGCUUUUUCCUUUAUAUCUAAUUCAGCAUUUUGAGCCAAAUUGACCAACGGUGGAAUCAGAUUUGCAUCUAUCACUGCCUGUUAUUAAGGUAAAGAGAGACAUAUAGCAACAAAAGGGUAAAUUUGUGAUAGCAACAAAAGGGUAAAUUUGUUUUCAUGUAUCUGCAACACUCACCUGAAUUUGUUCUUGAGUGCCUGCAGUGAUGUUUGAAAUCGUCCAGCAAGUUUUCCACUGUAUAACAGGGUUUCGAGUAAGCAGGUUGGCAAGAAGAGGUAAAACAUCACUCUCUAUCACAACCUGACAAAAAUAAGUUGAAAGAGCAUUUUGGUUACAACAUCUAAUAUCUAAACUAAUCAAUUUAAUCAUUCAAGAUACAUUAUAAUAACCCAACAAGAAGUGUUUAAAACAUAGAAGUACAUACUUGGGUCUGCUGAUUAUCUCCAAUAGUUAGACCCAAAAUGGUAGUUAAUGCAAGACCAAUCACCGUUGGAGAAACGUUUCUGCAAAAGAAAGAAAAAAAAUGUCAGCCUGCAUUAUCUAAACAUGUAGCAAAGGCUUAAAAAGGUUUGUUUUGAAUAAGUACUAACCCGAGAAGUUGGACUAUUCUUGGGACAAGACCAGCGUCGAUAAAGCUCUGGAUGGUCUCUUUUGAACCAUCAGAUAGAUUAUGAAGUGUACAACAUGCACUUAACAAAAACGAUUCAUCAUUUCUAUGAAGAACUUGCUGAAGUGCAGAGAGAGCAGGUUUCAUCUGUUUAGACAUUUUUCUAUAAGUUAAUGUAUACAAACUGAGGAAACAAAACCUGGAGAGAGAGAGAGAGAUAGAGCGAGAGAAGCUACAAGACCUGGCGAAAGGGAGGCGGAGGCAUGCCGGAGCAGAAAUUUGACAAAGUCCAAGAGGCAACUCCAACCAUUAUCUGAUUAUUAUUCUCAUGGAACUGAGCCAACAGUGGAGUCAAUGCACCACACCGUAGAACAUAGUCACGGGAUUGUAUAGAAGCACUAGCAACAUUACCUAGUGCACGCAUAACCUGCAAAAGAUGGUAUAACAUCAGAAUAUCAACUCCUAUAUAUAUCUCGCAUUCAUAUCUACAAUAAGUAAAAUACCUGAAAAUGGAGAUAAUAAUCAUCAGUAGCGCCAGCAAGAAGAUGGACAAAGAUUUGAACAGCACCGUGAUCAAUAAGAACUUUGGUGUUCUUUUCAGAAACAUGUCUUAGAAUGGAAGCAGCAACACACUAGAGAAGUAGAGAUCAUGGAAUAAAAUCAGAAAUGCCCAAUUAUUCAUUACAAUAUAUCAACUGAUGGGAGCUUUUUUCUUCUAACCUGUAACUUGAAUGAAUCUUCCAUCUUAAGAAACUCAGCGUAACGAGGCACAUUUCCAGAAUUUACUAUCUUAUCGACAGGCCUUUUUUGCGCUGGAACAUACAAGAAGAAGAAACUUAAAGAAACAUUCAGAUCAAGAACAAGAAAAGUAAAGAAAGUAAAACAGAGGAAGUUGUGUACCAUUAAACAUGGAAGCGUAUUUGAACUGUAUUGAUGGAUCAUCUGAGAAAACACCAGCAAUCAUUUCUUUGUCCACCUACGAGAAUAAACAAUCAAAAACCCAAACCAGAGAUUGAUUGAUUACUUGUGAAACACGUUUAGACGAACCUCUUUCUUGGCUUCGGGGUUCAGCGACAUGGUUUUCUCUUCUUUGACCUCUCUUCCAAGCGAUUUACAAAACUUGAAGGAGAAACAAAAACCUAAACUGAGAAGUGAAAGAGGAAGAGCACUUUUGCAAGAAUGCAAACAAGAAUUGGAUUAAACCAAAAAGCAGAUGAAGUUACAGAAGCGAACGAUAUUUCUAGUUACAUUAUUUUUAUAACAAAACCGGUUUAGUUUAGUUAAAUUUGGAAUUAAAUCCGGUCUAAUCCAAUUCAAUUAUUUUUGGGUUAAAUAUGGUUUACUGAACCCCAGAUUUCAAUCUGCUAGGCGUAUUGGUUCAUGUGAUCGUCUAAAGUCUAAUAAACCUUACGACCAUCACGCAAACGCAAACAUCAGUGGUGGGUUUAGCUUGUACGACAAUCACUAAGACUAAUUUUGUUCUGUUCGAUCAUGUCUCCAUCUCUUUUUUUCUUUCUUUAAACAAGUGUGAGGAUUGGGGGAUUUAACAGUUUGUGACAAAUCAAUCUUGCAUUAUAAAUUCUUUUUCUAGGAACCAUUUACAAAACAACUCUGUUAAUAUAAAGUAACAAUGGAGCCAAAGAUUAAUCCACCAUGAACUUGACUCACUCUUUGAGUUUUGGUUCCAUUCUAUUAACAGUUUGAAAGUUACUUUUUUUGUUUGCGUCUAUUCCUAAAUAUACAUUUCAACAGAAGUAGAAUCCGCUAGAAAGGACUGGAACUUGAUUCUGUCACAUCUGAAAGACCAGAGAUCAUCACCUUGGAGGUUGUUGUGUUUGGUCAUCAUCCUCUUUUUUCCAGUAUGUCUCCACAAUCUUCAAAGCCUUCUCGUUUACUUCUCUGCUUUCGUGUUGUUGCAGGUUCUCAAUCUUUUCUUUCCCUUCUGCAUCUCCAAUCAUCUGAGAGUAUAAGUUCACGUCUCCGGUGGUGUUCUUCUCCACCUCUCCAGCCAUCAAAAUCCUUUCCAAUCCAUUUAGACACGCAGAGAUGAUCCUUACAUUUGGAC